rnacentral:rRNA from 1 species
UAAGACGAACCGUCCAAACGUUGUUCGGAAUCACUGGGCUUAAAGGGCGCGUAGGCGGGUUGGCAAGUCUGUGGUGAAAUCCUCCAGCUUAACUGGAGAAGUGCCGUGGAUACUGCUGACCUCGAGGAGGGUAGGGGCAUCUGGAACUGUCGGUGGAGCGGUGAAAUGCGUUGAUAUCGACAGGAACUCCGGUGGCGAAGGCGAGGUGCUGGACCCUUUCUGACGCUGAGGCGCGAAAGCCAGGGGAGCAAACGGGAUUAGAUACCCCGGUAGUCCUGGCCCUAAACGUUGAGAACUAGGUAGUGGACUUACAUGGGUUCACUGUCGAAGCAAAAGUGCUAAGUUCUCCGCCUGGGGAGUAUGGUCGCAAGGCUG